UGUUUGACUAGCUGUCUAACAGCAUUCUAUAUAAAUCACCAAAGUCUUGAGGAUCAAAGUAAGUUACACAAUCCCUCUCAGAGAAUCCGUUGCUACUCUUAUUAUUCUCUAAAUCUAAUUUGAGCAUCGGAGGGUCCUUACCGGAGUGAAAACUUUUGGUUGGGACUUAUUUUGUAGGUCACUCUAGUACCAGCAACCCUAUGCGAGGCUCAGCCGCCCUCUCUCCAACUUUGACUGAUUUCAACAGCAACAG
rnacentral:lncRNA from 1 species